UUAAAUAAUACAGAGUGCGAUGCGUUCUUUGAUAUGGGGAGCGCGUGCUCACUUUUAACGGCAGAUGUAAUAAAACGAUGCAAAUUACAACCAUUCAAAAUAAAACCUAUUAGUUUAGUAGGGUUUAGAGAUGAGGUUUCUUUCCAAGUCACCGAAGCAGUCGCGGCUAACUUGAAGGUAGACAAUGUGCAACUAUUUAUAACAUUGUAUGUUGUUGACAUGUUGAAUGGAUGUAAUUUGUUAAUAGGACGUAAUUUCACGGAGAACAAAAGCAUCAUGUACACGCGUUCGGGAGAUACUUUAACGUUUGAUCCUGCACAGGUCUUAAGCGUAAAUAGUGUAGACAUUAGUUCGAUUAGUGAUCUAUCUAGCGAGCAUCAAACUAUAGUAAAUAAUAUUUUUUCAAGGUACCCUCAGUGUACAUCGCAAGACAUGACUAGCUUGGGCAAAACAUCUUGUGUAGAAUUGUCAAUUGAACUGACGUCAAAUAAGCCUGUUUGUCAACGGCCUUAUAGGAUGUCAGAAGCCGAGAAGGCAAAAACACGGGAACUUACAGACGAACUCUUAAAAAACGGUAUCAUUCGCCACAGCUGUUCUGCCUACGCUAGCCCGGCUUUGUUAGUAGAUAAACCAUCGGGAGAAAAACGGUUGUGUAUAGAUUAUCGGCAAUUAAAUAAAAUAACUGUUAAAGAGAAAUAUCCAAUGCCUAUGAUAGAUGAUCUUAUAGAUCGGUUACGAGGAUGUAAGUUUUACACAUCCCUUGAUUUAAAAAACGGGUAUUAUCAAAUUGGGGUAAAACCAGAGGAUGCGCACAAACUUGCAUUUGUUACUAGUGACUCUCAUUUUGAGUUUAUUAGAAUGCCGUUCGGGGUCUGCAAUGGGCCUGCGGUAUUUCAAAGGCUAAUGAAUACAAUUUUGGGCGAUUUGCGAUUUGGAAAGGUUAUAUGUUAUAUGGAUGAUCUACUAAUAGCCACAGAAACGUUGGAGGAAAACAUAGCUUGCCUAGAACACGUACUAGAUUUGUUAGUAACUAACGGGUUAACUUUAAAUUUAAAAAAGUGCUCAUUUUUUCGUAAUAACAUUACAUUUCUAGGAUACGAAAUAUCUGAACAUGGCAUUCGGCCGAGUUCAAAAAAAUUAAAGGCGUUAGUAGAUUAUCCGACUCCUAAAACAGUACAUCAGUUGCGCCAAUUUUUGGGACUAGUCAAUUAUUUUAGAAAAUUCAUUAAAAAUUGCGCCCUAGUUUGCAAACCAUUAACUAACUUAUUAAAAAAAGGAAUUAGUUGGCACUGGGGUUCCGAACAAGAUAAAGCUGUAACCGAUCUAAAAGAGAAACUGAUUAACAAUGCUGUGCUAGAGAUUUUUGACCCUAAAUUGCCGAUAAAUCUUUAUACAGAUGCGAGUCAGGACGGAAUAGGUUGUAUCUUGAUGCAAUUGACUGAAAAUGGAGAAAGGCCAGUUCAUUUUUAUAGCCGCCAAACUACAAAAGAUGAAAAGAAGUUUCACUCCUUCGAAUUGGAAUUAUUAGCAAUUGUGACAGGACUACAACGAUUCCGUCAUUAUUUAAUAGGCACUCAAUUUAAAAUAACUACAGAUUGUAAUGCGGUCAAAUUUGCGUUAAGUAAACAAAAUAUAGUACCACGUAUAAGUAGAUGGGUGUUGUAUACGCAGGAAUUCACUUUUGACAUAACUCAUAGGGCUGGCUGCCAAAUGCAGCAUGUAGACGCCUUAAGCCGGAACCCGUUGAAAGAUGAUAACGAAACUGAAUCCGUGAUGUCUAUUACAGAAGGUGACUGGUUAUUGUCAGUUCAGUUACAAGAUGCAGCUAUAUGUAGUAUUCGCGAUAUUCUGUUGUCAGGGGAGGCCGAGUCUAAUAAACGGAUUUUUAAUGAAUACGAGGUGUUAGGUAAUAAAGUGUACCGACGUACAGAGUAUGGAAGGCGCUGGUUGGUUCCAAAAAGCUGUAUAUGGCAUGUAAUACGUGCAAACCAUGACGACGUAGGACAUUUUGCAGUAGAUAAAACUAUUGAGAGAAUUCGAGCAAAAUUCUGGUUUCCGCGUUUAAAAAAGACUGUUACAAAAUACAUAAAAAAUUGUAUAAAUUGCAUUUAUUACAAAAAUAUACAUGGUAAAAAACCCGGUAAAUUAUUUCCAAUUCCGAAAUACGCAAGGCCCUUUCAUACUCUGCACGUGGACCAUCUUGGCCCUUUUGUGAAAACAACUCAACAGAAUAGUUAUUUAUUAGUACUCGUAGAUUCUUUCACAAAAUUUGUGUUCAUUUCGGCGGUUAAAAACACAAAAAGUAUAGUAGUCAUUAAUGAGUUAAAUAAGAUUUUUAAGAUUUUCGGUAACCCAAAACGUUUGAUUUGUGACGCGGGUAGCGCAUUUACAUCCAAGUUAUUCACAGAGUAUUGCAACGCUAGGCAUAUAAGACGUCAUAUUAUCGCGACAGCCGUACCUCGCUCGAACGGUCAAGUCGAGCGAUACAACUUGACGAUUUUAGAGGCCUUGCGCAGCAUGGGCGCUGAUACAGAGAAUAAUAAAUGGGAUACGCACAUACCAAGUAUCCAACAAGGCAUUAAUAGCACUGUAAACAAAACCACAGCCGCAGUACCCAGUGAGGUUUUUUUUGGAUACCGAAUUCGAAUGAAUAAUGAUGCGAUUAUUGAUGAUAAUUUAGAAAGUACUAUCGAUGUCACUGCAUUAAGAAACACUGUCGAUAAUAAUAUUAAAAAAGAUGCCGAACGACAGAAGGCAUCAUUUGACUCAAAAAGAAAGGAGGCAAGACAGUAUAAUGUUGGCGAUUUAGUUGUGCUGAAAAUUCCUAGUCAGUCCAAUGAUGGUAAUAGCACAAAAUUAUUACCUUUGUACAAAGGGCCCUUCCAAAUUACCGAGGUUUUAGGACAAGAUAGGUACAAGGUCACUGAUCUUCGAGGCGCUGAAAGAAGUUCUAAAAGGUAUGAUGGAACGGCCUGCGUGGAGAAUAUGAAGCCGUGGAUUCAUAUAGAGGAGUAACCGGAUGUUGUCGAUGAAAGCUUCCGCAUCAGGCCCUAACGAGCUCCAGGAGUAGCUCGUGGCAGAGGACGGCCGGAUGUUGUCGCCACGGCAUUUUGGCAACACCACGUCGACGAUCCUGGCAACGCCGCGUGUGACGUACAUCCGGAGCUGUCAAACCCAACGUCAUAAAAGGACAAGCACAAGGCGGGAGCGACCACUUGCCAUCUAGCAGCCACCAGCGACGGAGUAUUUGGUUAAAUGUAUUGAUCUGAGUAUAAUUGUGUCAUACCUAUUUGCGAUAUCAUUCACGGUCGUAUUAAGUGUAAUAUGGUCUGCAUAUUAUACUUAAUACGAUCAGUUUGUUUCUGUAUUAUUGUUAAUUGGAUAAAUAAAUAAAUGUAUUAAUGUUG